rnacentral:rRNA from 1 species
AUACGGAAGGUCCGGGCGUUAUCCGGAUUUAUUGGGUUUAAAGGGAGCGCAGGCGGAGAUGCAAGCGUGACGUCAAAUUUCGGGGCUCAACCCCGUCUCGCGUCGCGAACUGCGUCCCUUGGUUGCGGGAAGGGGAGGCGGAACUCGUGGUGUAGCGGGGAAAUGCAUAGAUAUCACGCAGAACUCCGAUCGCGAAGGCAGCCUUCCGGCCCGUCAACGACGCUCAUGCUCGAAGGUGCGGGUAUCAAACAGGAUUAGAUACCCUGGUAGUCCGCACAGUAAACGAUGGACACCCGCGGUUUGGCCUGUAUGGCUGAGCCGCCAAGCGAAAGCGUUAAGUGUCCCACCUGGGGAGUACGCCGGCAACGGUGAAACUCAAAGGAAUUGACGGGG